rnacentral:pre_miRNA from 1 species
CAUUUAUAACUUUCUCAGAAAUGUUACCUUCGGGACUGAAUUUUUGCGUGCUUGGUCUCAGUCCAGAAAUGAAUUUGUUUUGGAAAGUUUGAUA